CCAAUAGCGUAUAUUAAAGUUGUUGCAGUUAAAAAGCUCGUAGUUGAACUUCGGGGUUUACUCAUUGGUCAGGCUUAAUUGUCUGUACUGGUGAGCUGAAUCUCUACCUUCUGAGGAACUUUCAUGCCAUUUAUUUGGUGUGAUGGGAAAUCAGGACUGUUACUUUGAAAAAAUUAGAGUGUUUAAAGCAGGCUAACGUCUGAAUACAUUAGCAUGGAAUAAUGAAAUAGGACGGACUGAUUCUAUUUCGUUGGUUUCUAGGAUCACCGUAAUGAUUAAUAGGGAUAGUUGGGGGCAUUAGUAUUCAAUUGUCAGAGGUGAAAUUCUUGGAUUAUUGAAGACUAACUACUGCGAAAGCAUUUGCCAAGGAUGUUUUCAUUAAUCAAGAACGAAAGUUAGGGGAUCGAAGACGAUCAGAUACCGUCGUAGUCUUAACCAUAAACUAUGCCGACUAGGGAUCGGACGAAGUUAAUUUUAUAAUGACGCGUUCGGCACCUUACG
rnacentral:rRNA from 1 species